rnacentral:rRNA from 1 species
AGCGAACGCUGGCGGCAGGCCUAAAACAUGCAAGUCGAACGCCGUAGCAAUACGGAGUGGCAGACGGGUGAGUAACGCGUGGGAACGUACCCUUUGGUUCGGAACAACACAGGGAAACUUGUGCUAAUACCGGAUAAGCCCUUACGGGGAAAGAUUUAUCGCCAAAGGAUCGGCCCGCGUCUGAUUAGCUUGUUGGUGAGGUAACGGCUCACCAAGGCUACGAUCAGUAGCUGGUCUGAGAGGAUGAUCAGCCACACUGGGACUGAGACACGGCCCAGACUCCUACGGGAGGCAGCAGUUAGGAAUCUUGGACAAUGGGCGCAAGCCUGAUCCAGCCAUGCCGCGUGAGUGAUGAAGGCCUUAGGGUUGUAAAGCUCUUUCAGCGGGGAAGAUAAUAACGGUACCCGCAGAAGAAG